CAUCAUGCACCCUGACCGGCGGUCUCUGUCUCAGCUUGUUUUGCUCAGCUUGUCAUGUGGUCCAGCAAUAUUCUUUUGCCCUUAACUAUCUUUUCUAGGAGCAGCAGCACCAGGUACUCUGCAUGUCUCGUGCUACCCCCCAUGUUGUUUCAGCAUCGGUUGAUCCUCACUUGGACUACUAAUCGCUUCAGGUCAGGUCCAUGUGCCACAAAAUAUCCUCACAAUCUUGUUAAGAAUCCCCUGGGAUUCGGUUCAGGUGUGGCACUAAACUAUUCUGGCUUUUCUCUUUCCCAUACACUACAGCGGUUCUACCAGAAACUGAAAUCUGAUGUUGGCUACCGGGUCCCGGAUCGCUGCAUGGAACCGUCACAAAUCAAACCACACUGAACGCCUAAAGCUAAUAUCUUUCACAAUUAUUGAGAUACCAAUGCAUCUGCAUGAGUUGUACUCCCACCCUUUCUAGUUAUAAGAUCUUUUAGUUAUUGCAACAUAGACCACAUACAGAUGAAAGUUAAAAUGAGUAGGUGCAUAGGCAUCUGAAAAAACAGAGAAAAGCUAAAACAUCUUAUACUCCCUCUGUCCCCAAAAUCAUGUAUUAGAU
rnacentral:lncRNA from 1 species